rnacentral:rRNA from 1 species
GAAUUUUGGACAAUGGGGGCAACCCUGAUCCAGCCAUCCCGCGUGUGCGAUGAAGGCCUUCGGGUUGUAAAGCACUUUUGGCAGGGAAGAAACGGCUCUGGCUACUACCUGGAGCUGCUGACGGUACCUGCAGAAUAAGCACCGGCUAACUACGUCCCAGCAGCCGCGGGAAUACGUAGGGUGCAAGCGUUAAUCGGAAUUACUGGGCGGAAAGCGGGCGCAGGGGGGUCCGCAAGAAAGAUGGGGAAACCCAAGGGUUAACCUUUGAACGGCAUUCUUAACCGGCGGGCUAGAGGAUGUCAGAGGGGGGUAGAAUUCCGCGGGUAGCAGUGAAAUGCGUAGAGAUGCGGAGGAAUAACGAUGGCGAAGGCAGCCCCCUGGGAUAAUACUGACGCUCAUGCACGAAAGCGUGGGGAGCAAAC